CCCUUAGAUGUUCUGGGCUGCACGCGUGCUACACUGAUAUUGCCAAUAUGUCAUUCUUAUCCGAAAUGGAUUGGGUAAUCAAGUAAUGAAAUUUCAUGCUUGGAAUCGGUAAUUGCAAUUUUAUCGUGAACGAGGAAUUCCUAGUAAGCACUAGUCAUCAGCUAAUGUUGAUUACGUCCCUGCCCUUUGUACACACCGCCCGUCGCUACUACCGAUUGAACGGUUUAGUGAGGGCCUCGGAUUGGUCUCGGCCCGCUCUUUACCGGGCGGCGCCGUUGGUCGAGAAGACGCUCGAACUUGAUCGUUUAGAGGAAGUAAAAGUCGUAACA
rnacentral:rRNA from 1 species